rnacentral:misc_RNA from 1 species
GAUGAAGAACGCAGCGAAAUGCGAUAAGUAGUGUGAAUUGCAGAAUUCAGUGAAUCAUCGAAUCUUUGAACGCACAUUGCGCCCCUUGGUAUUCCAUGGGGCAUGCCUGUUCGAGCGUCAUUAUCACCCCUCAAGCCCCCUUGGCUUGGUGUUGGACGGUUUUGGUGGGGACGUGCAGCCUCUCACCCCUCCUAAAGACAAUGACGGCGGCGUCGUUGGGACCCCCGGUACACUGAGCUUCUUAACUGAGCACGUACUGGACGCGGGUACGCGACGCACGGUCUGCCUCCCCUUUAAGGGAGAACUUUUUCUUAAGGUUGACCUCGGAUCAGGUAGGAAUACCCGCUGAACUUAAGCAUAUCAAUAAGCGGAGGA